AACUUUUUUUUUUCAACAGAUUAUUUCAAAUCUUCACAACAGAUCAAUUUUUCUGUUAUUUUUACCAUAUCAGUUGUUUGAGAGAGCCCACAUUCGACUUCCUUCUUUCUCAUAGUUGCCACUUUCUCUCUCUUUGAGGCUUGGUCAUUUGAAGUCAUUUCUCAUUUUCAACAGCAGGUCAAGGACUACUCAAAAGAGGUUUCUCAUCUAAGGAUCCUUAAAUGGUUGUCUGCCACGGACAACUCAAGAAUGAAUCCCCUUGAUCUCUUUAUCUCUCUUGAUGAUGCAGUGCUGACGCUCAGUUCUCGGAUUGUACUUAGUCCCUUAGAUUCUCAGCAGUACAGUGGCAGUGGUGAGUCCUCAUCACCUGAGGAUAGACUAUCUUAUUUCAUGUCUUUAUUUUAGUAGUUAGUAGAGUUAGUUGGGGGCUUGUCCCAUCAACUCUCAGUCAGUUAAUCUUAGAGGCUUUUUAGACAUUACAGUUAGUUAGUUGUUUAUUUUAUUAGUACUUUAUCAGAUUCUAACAGUCGUUUUUCCUAGAUUGAUAUUUCAGUUUAAAUUUAGAUAUUUAAAACCUUUUUUCACUUCAG